rnacentral:rRNA from 1 species
CCCUUAGAUGUCCGGGGCUGCACGCGCGCUACACUGAAGGAAUCAGCGUGCUAAAACCAUUGUCGAAAGGCAUUGGUAAACCCAUUAAAAUCCUACGUGAUUGGGAUCGGGAAUUGCAAUUAUUUCCCUUGAACGAGGAAUUCCCAGUAAGUGUGGGUCAUAAGCUCGCGUUGAUUACGUCCCUACCCUUUGUACACACCGCCCGUCGCUGCCCGGGACUGAGCCGUUUCGAGAAAAGCGGGGACUGCUGCUGUCGGGGCUUUCGGGCCUUGGCUUCGGUGGAAACCGCUUUAAUCGCAGUGGCUUGAACCGGGCAAAAGUCGUAACA